GAUGAACGCUGGCGGCGUGCCUAAUACAUGCAAGUCGAGCGGACGGACGAGAAGCUUGCUUCUCUGAUGUUAGCGGCGGACGGGUGAGUAACGCGUGGAUACCCUACCUAUAAGACGGGGAUAACUUCGGGAAACCGGAGCUAAUACCGGAUAAUAUUUUGCACCGCAGGGUUCAAAAGUGAAAGACGGUCUUGCUGUCACUUAUAGAUGGAUCUGCGCUGCAUUAGCUAGUUGGGAAGGUAACGGCUUACCAAGGGAACGAUGCAUAGCCGACCUGAGAGGGUGGUCGGCCACCCUGGAAGUGAGACGCGGUCCAGACUCCUACGGGAGGCAGCAGUCGGGAAUCUUCCGCAAUGGGCGAAAGCCUGACGGAGCAACGCCGCGUGAGUGAUGAAGGUCUUCGGAUCGUAAAACUCUGUUACUAGGGAAAAACAUAUGUGUAAGUAACUGUGCCGAUAUUGACGGUACCUAAUAAGAAAGCAACGGCUAACUACGUG
rnacentral:rRNA from 1 species